CUCCGUGGUUAAUACCCACGGACGAUGACAUUAGCUGCAGAAUAAGCACCGGCUAACUCUGUGCCAGCAGCCGCGGUAAUACAGAGGGUGCAAGCGUUAAUCGGAAUUACUGGGCGUAAAGCGAGCGUAGGUGGCUUGAUAAGUCAGAUGUGAAAUCCCCGGGCUUAACCUGGGAACUGCAUCUGAAACUGUUAGGCUAGAGUAGGUGAGAGGGAAGUAGAAUUUCAGGUGUAGCGGUGAAAUGCGUAGAGAUCUGAAGGAAUACCGAUGGCGAAGGCAGCUUCCUGGCAUCAUACUGACACUGAGGCUCGAAAGCGUGGGUAGCAAACAGGAUUAGAUACCCUGGUAGUCCACGCCGUAAACGAUGUC
rnacentral:rRNA from 1 species